rnacentral:rRNA from 1 species
GACGAACGCUGGCGGCGUGCCUAAUACAUGCAAGUCGAACGCUGAAGCGAGGAGCUUGCUCUUCUUGGAUGAGUUGCGAACGGGUGAGUAACGCGUAGGUAACCUGCCUUGUAGCGGGGGAUAACUAUUGGAAACGAUAGCUAAUACCGCAUAACAAUGGAUGACACAUGUCAUUUAUUUGAAAGGGGCAAUUGCUCCACUACAAGAUGGACCUGCGUUGUAUUAGCUAGUAGGUGAGGUAACGGCUCACCUAGGCGACGAUACAUAGCCGACCUGAGAGGGUGAUCGGCCACACUGGGACUGAGACACGGCCCAGACUCCUACGGGAGGCAGCAGUAGGGAAUCUUCGGCAAUGGGGGCAACCCUGACCGAGCAACGCCGCGGGAGUGAAGAAGGUUUUCGGAUCGUAAAGCUCUGUUGUAAGUCAAGAACGAGUGUGAGAGUGGAAAGUUCACACUGUGACGGUAGCUUACCAGAAAGGGACGGCUAACUACGUG